GUAGGGAAUAUUGGGCAAUGGAGGCAACUCUGACCCAGCCAUGCCGCGUGCAGGAUGACGGCCCUCUGGGUUGUAAACUGCUUUUAUACGGGAAGAAAAAAUACUACGUGUAGUAUACUGACGGUACCGUAAGAAUAAGGAUCGGCUAACUCCGUGCCAGCAGCCGCGGUAAUACGGAGGAUCCAAGCGUUGUCCGGAUUUAUUGGGUGUAAAGGGUGCGUAGGCGGAUCUUUAAGUCAGUGGUGAAAGCCUGCAGCUUAACUGUAGAAGUGCCAUUGAAACUGAAGAUCUUGAAUGUGGUUAAAGUAGGCGGAAUGUAUCAUGUAGCGGUGAAAUGCUUAGAUAUGAUACAGAACACCGAUAGCGAAGGCAGCUUGCUGAACCAUUAUUGACGCUGAGGCACGAAAGCGUGGGGAGCGAACAGGAUUAGAAACCCUAGUAGUCC
rnacentral:rRNA from 1 species